rnacentral:rRNA from 1 species
GAUGAACGCUGGCGGCGUGCCUAAUACAUGCAAGUCGAGCGAACGGACGAGAAGCUUGCUUCUCUGAUGUUAGCGGCGGACGGGAGAGUAACACGUGGAUAACCUACCUAUAAGACUGGGAUAACUUCGGGAAACCGUAGCUAAUACCGGAUAAUAUUUUGAACCGCAUGGUUCAAAAGUGAAAGACGGUCUUGCUGUCACUUAUAGAUGGAUCCGCGCUGCAUUAGCUAGUUGGUAAGGUAACGGCUUACCAAGGCAACGAUGGAUAGCCGACCUGAGAGGGUGAUCGGCCACACUGGAACUGAGAAACGGUCCAGACUCCUACGGGAGGCAGCAGUAGGGAAUCGUCCGCAAUGGGCGAAAGCCUGACGGAGCAACGCCGCGUGAGUGAUGAAGGUCUUCGGAUCGUAAAACUCUGUUAUUAGGGAAGAACAUAUGUGUAAGUAACUGUGCACAUCUUGACGGUACCUAAUCAGAAAGCCACGGCUAACUACGUG